AUUGAACGCUGGCGGCAGGCCUAACACAUGCAAGUCGAACGGAGCGGCGAACGGGUGAGUAAUGUAUAGGAAUCUGUCCGGUAGCGGGGGAUAACGACCCCAAAUGGGCGCUAAUACCGCAUACUAUUGGCUCAGCCUAUGGCGGAUUAGCUAGUUGGUGGGGUAACGGCCUACCAAGGCGACGAUCCGUAGCUGGUCUGAGAGGACGAUCAGCCACACUGGAACUGAGACACGGGCCAGACUCCUACGGGAGGCAGCAGUGGGGAAUAUUGGACAAUGGGCGAAAGCCUGAUGCAGCCAUGCCGCGUGUGUGAAGAAGGUCUUCGGGUUGUAAAGCACUUUAGGUAGGGAGGCGGUACCAGCAGAAGAAGCACCGGCUAACUACGUGCCAGCAGCCGCGGUAAUAC
rnacentral:rRNA from 1 species